rnacentral:rRNA from 1 species
UACGAAGGGGGCUAGCGUUGCUCGGAAUCACUGGGCGUAAAGGGUGCGUAGGCGGGUUUUAAGUCAGAGGUGAAAUCCCAAGGCUCAACCUUGGAACUGCCUUUGAUACUGGGGAUCUUGAGUCCGGGAGAGGUGAGUGGAACUGCGAGUGUAGAGGUGAAAUUCGUAGAUAUUCGCAAGAACACCAGUGGCGAAGGCGGCUCACUGGCCCGGUACUGACGCUGAGGUGCGAAAGCGUGGGGAGCAAACAGGA